UGGGGAAUAUUGGACAGUGGGGGAAACCCUGAUCCAGCAAUGCCGCGUGAGUGAAGAAGGCCUUAGGGUUGUAAAGCUCUUUCGCCCGCGAAGAUAAUGACGGUAGCGGGAGAAGAAGCCCCGGCUAACUCCGUGCCAGCAGCCGCGGUAAUACGGAGGGGGCUAGCGUUGUUCGGAAUUACUGGGCGUAAAGCGUACGUAGGCGGAUGCGCAAGUUGGGGGUGAAAUCCCGGGGCUUAACCUCGGAAUUGCCCGCAAAACUGCACGUCUUGAGACCGAGAGAGNUGAGGGGAAUUCCUAGUGUAGAGGUGAAAUUCGUAGAUAUUAGGAAGAACACCAGUGGCGAAGGCGCCUUACUGGCUCGGUACUGACGCUGAGGUACGAAAGCGUGGGGAGCAAACA
rnacentral:rRNA from 1 species